GUGGUUGAGACAGAUGAUUGUUAACACCUGCCCCCAAAUUCUUUUGGUUAUUUCCUGCAAGCCCUGUGAUGCAGAACUCAGGCCUCUAUGGACCGCUUGUCCAGAUCUAAAGGUGUUUCCUGAGGGCCGAAUUGGCCUCGUAUGCAGGUUCCUCUGCAGACCACAGCAAUGCAUAGAAGAUGCGGCACUGCCUCCUGGCAUGCACACAGGGCCGGCUCCCCCAGCUACACAUCAAACACCAACUCUGCUGCCCAUGCCGGAUGCCAAGUGAGAUAAUAUGUCCUUGCCUCCUGCUUUCCUGAGAUGAGUAACAAAAUAAUCCUAGCUGCUAUCAUUCAUGCGGUAGCCACAAGCUCUAAGCAGGUGCAGAAUAUACUCUUCAUCUGCAAAGCAUUUGGUCCCGGGACUACCCAUCUCCAGUAUGAACUCCCUGUAUUUCUCUCUUUUCCUCUGAAAAUCUGUCUCUGUCUUGAUCCCUGGUCUUGGAGGAAGAAAAGUUCUUUCAAUGCAAAGUUUCCUCCUCCAUCUUGAGCUUGGUUUCCUCCUGUCUCCCACUGCACCUCCCUACAUUAACUGUCCCCUCCCUCUCUCAUAUAGAUCAGCCUCUCCUCCCCACUGCCUCUUCCCUACAAAUGCAUUUGGUCUGCCCACCUUCACCAAUCACUCCUGCUUCAUCUGCCUCCUUGCUUCACUGUCAGCUUGUCAAAAGGAAGGGUGUUUCAGUUUGGCCACCUCUUCUGUUCCCUCAUGCACUCCUUGGCUGUCCAGUCACCUACUUGGUGAGCAAAGCCUUGGUCCCUUCCCUGACACUGUGUGUCUUGGGUCCCUUCUCUUCCCUCCUGGAUGGGCACCAUGUCAUCUCCUACCCUUUUGUUUCUCAGUGCCUGGGACUGUGCCCUGAAUAGCAAGGGCGAUGGUGAUGACCUCACAUUCAGAACUGGUCAAAAAUCAAGACAAACACUUCCCAGGGGCAGGGAGCUAGCUGAGGUGGGGCUCCCAGGGAAAUUCCUUUGGGCUGGAGUUCUGUUCAGCAGAAUGACGACACACUAUUGCCAUUUUUAGAGCAGUGAUUACCAAAU
rnacentral:lncRNA from 1 species